rnacentral:misc_RNA from 1 species
AAGAAACAUGGACGUGGCCUGGGAGGGAGGUUGUGCUGGCGCCACCCGCGCAUGUGCACGCCCCCGCCUUUGCCCGCUCAUCCAACUCACACCUGUGCACCUUCCGAUCUCGUCGGACGGGAGGGUUCCCCCUCGGGGGGGCCGCCUUCCGGCGUAGACCUCUUCACAUCAUCCUUCAUGUCUUGUCGAAUGUAAAAUGCGUAAACGCAAUCUAAAAA